AACGAACGCUGGCGGCGUGCUUAACACAUGCAAGUCGAACGGGAUCCAGAGCUUGCUCUGGUGAGAGUGGCGCACGGGUGAGUAACGCGUGGAUAACCUGCCCUGGUAUCUGGAAUAACAUCUCGAAAGGGGGUGCUAAUACCGGAUAAGCCCACGGAGCCUUCGGUCUCUGCGGGAAAAAGGUGGCCUCUAUUUAUAAGCUACCGUAUCAGGAUGGGUCCGCGUACCAUUAGCUAGUUGGUGGGGUAAUGGCCUACCAAGGCGACGAUGGUUAGCUGGUCUGAGAGGAUGAUCAGCCACACUGGAACUGAGACACGGUCCAGACUCCUACGGGAGGCAGCAGUGGGGAAUUUUGCGCAAUGGGGGAAACCCUGACGCAGCAACG
rnacentral:rRNA from 1 species